AUCCUGGCUCAGGACGAACGCUGGCGGCGUGCUUAACACAUGCAAGUCGAGCGAUGAAACUUCCUUCGGGAAGUGGAUUAGCGGCGGACGGGUGAGUAACACGUGGGUAACCUGCCUCAAAGUGGGGGAUAGCCUUUCGAAAGGAAGAUUAAUACCGCAUAAUAUAGGAGAAUCGCAUGAUUUUCUUAUCAAAGAUUUAUUGCUUUGAGAUGGACCCGCGGCGCAUUAGCUAGUUGGUAAGGUAACGGCUUACCAAGGCAACGA
rnacentral:rRNA from 1 species